GCCAGGUGUGGUAUCACAUACCUGUAGUCCUGAACCAAGAGGAUCACUUGAGCUUCCAGGAGUUCUAGGCUGGAGUGUGCUGUUCUGAUCUGGUGUCUUCACUAAACUCAACAUCAAUAUGGUGACCUCCAGGGAACUGGGAACCACCAGGUUUCCUAAGGACAGAUGUACUGGGCCAGGUCAGAAAUGGAGCAGGUCAAAACUCCCAUGCUGAUCAGUAACGAACUCAGGCCUGUGAAUAGCUGCUGCACUUCAGCAUAGGCAACAUAGCAAGACCCUGUCUCU
rnacentral:SRP_RNA from 1 species